AUUAUACUGCAUUGUAUGUUAUAUUACAACAGAGAAUACGUAUACAGUUGUCCCUCAAUAUCCACGGGAGAUUGGUUCUAGCACCUGCUGUGGAUACCAAAAUCCAAGGAUGCUCAAAUCCCACAGUCUGUCCUCUGAAUGAAUGGUUCUGCAUGCACGGAUUAAGGAACCUCCAGAGAGAAAUUUCAGUCUGCAGUUGGUUGUAUCUGCAGAUUCAGAAACCUGCAAAUUGGGAGGGAUGAUUGUAUAAUUACUGAAAAAAGUCGGAGUAUGAGUGAACUGGUGCAGAUCAAACCUGUGUUGUUCAACGGUGUGCUAAUUUUAGUAGCAAUACCCAUUGUGGCUUUUUGGUAAAAGCAAGAGCUCUGAACUACCUGACUUUUUAUCUCUAGCUCCAUUUUACCAGUAGCAUUACCUUGGGUAAACUAUAUGAUCUUAUUAAGCCUCAGUUAUCACUAGAGUUGUUGGAAUAAUAAGUAGAUUAAACGUUAUAAAAGAUUUAAUUUAGUGCCUGAUAUACAAGAGGUCAAUAAAUAUUAGCUCCAACUAUUACUAUUACUGUUACCUGCACAAUUGACCUAAGUUGAAGAGAUGUGGGUUUGAAUUCUCCUAAAAUGACAUCAGUUAUGCACUUAAAAAUGUGUUUAAAAAUACAUUAAACCUAAAGGGCUAAAGGAUUUAAGUUCUGAUAUGUUGAGGUUUUUACAAUUUUAUUACUAGGUUUUUAGACCACUUUCACUUGAACAAAUUAAUCUAUAUGAUAUUAAAAAAUACAUUAGCUGUAGAAAAUGCCUAAAAAUUGCUAAAUGUUAACAGAUAGCUUGGUAUGUUGAGAGUUUACAUCAAUUGCAAACCCAAGGUUAGUUAAAUGGACAACUAAUAUCUAGAAUUUUGUAUAACUUAGAGUGUUUGUUUCAAAAACAAGAGGAAUUAGAAGACAGAUUCUGAAGAUUUUGAUUUUUUGUUUUUAUAUUUUACAGAGAAAUUUGACCAGCAUCAAAAAGAAACAACACAGUAUUCUAUAGAGUUCCUGGCUCGCCUUCAGUAAAGGUCAUAGAAGUUAAGUGUUCCAGCAGUGAGCCCAAUUUUUAGUAACCUUCAAAGGACUUCACUAGGGUUUAUCAUGCACAUUUCAACAGAGAAUAUCAAAGCAUCCCUUGAAAACGUUUGUGCAGUGAAUUCUGACUACCUUUCCAGGCUGGUAAAGGCAUUCAAAUACUAUACUUUGAGCUACUGUACCCCAUAUGGAGUAAAAAAAGAUACAUACAUAAAUGCUAACAAAUUAUGGCUCUCUCUUCCCUCUGCAGUUACACACUCUCAACUUUAGUCUGAGGAAGAACAAGAAGCUUAUUUAAUUCACUCUCAUUUUCUUACAUUUUUUUCAAAGUUUAUUUUUCUAUCUUAAAAUUUAUUGAACUAUAGCAGACUUGCAGAUAAAUGAGCUUAUCAAAAGUGUAUGGCUUGAUGCAUUUUUAAUAAGUUGUACACACCUAUAUUAUGUUUUCAGGACCCCAAGACCCUUAUGUGUCCCCUUCCUGUCAUGGCCCACCCCUCCAAGAGUAUCCACUUUCUGCAGUUCUGUCUGGACCAAACAGUUCUGCUUUUUGCAGUUGUUUAACUUCAUGUAAAUAGAAUCAUAUGGUUUGCAGUCUUUGGUGCCUCAUUUGUUUUGCUCUUCUUGUUUGUAAGAUUCAACAUAUUUUCCAUGUCCUUUUAGUUUAUUCAUUCUCAUUGUUAUAUAUUAUGCCAUUGUGUGACUAUGAUACAGUUAUUCAGCCAUUUUCCAAAAUCAAGUGUUCAUGUAUAGGAGUCUAUAUGUGGAUGCUGUAUUUUAGCCAAUCAUCUAUUUGUAUAUUUUUUUCCAAAUUCCAUAUUGCCAUGAUUAAUGUAGACUUAUAACAAAGCUUGCUAUAAAUGUUAACU